rnacentral:SRP_RNA from 1 species
GCCGGACGCGGUGGCGCGCGCCUGUAGUCCCAGCUACUCGGGAGGCUGAGGUGGGAGGAUCGCUUGAGUCCAGGAGUUCUGGGCUGCAGUGCGCUAUGCCGAUCGGGUGUCCGCACUAAGUUCGGCAUCAAUAUGGUGACCUCCCGGGAGCGGGGGACCACCAGGUUGCCUAAGGAGGGGUGAACCGGCCCAGGUCGGAAACGGAGCAGGUCAAAACUCCCGUGCUGAUCAGUAGUGGGAUCGCGCCUGUGAAUAGCCACUGCACUCCAGCCUGGGCAAUAUAGUGAGACCCUGUCUCUU